rnacentral:rRNA from 1 species
UCAGGCCUAACACAUGCAAGUCGAGCGAGGACAGUCCUUCGGGGCUGAGCCGAGCGGCGACGGGUGCGUAACACGUGAGCAACCUGUCUCCGUGCGGGGGAUAACCCGGGGAAACUCGGGCUAAUACCGCAUGGUCGGACCUCUCGCCUGGGGGGUUCGGGAAAGAUGGCCUCUUAACAAUGCUAUCGUGCGGAGAGGGGCUCGCGGGCUAUCAGCUGGUUGGUGAGGUAAUGGCUCACCAAGGCGACGACGGCUAGGGGGUCUGAGAGGACGACCCCCCACAUUGGAACUGAGACACGGUCCAGACUCCUACGGGAGGCAGCAGUGGGGAAUUUUGGGCAAUGGCCGAAAGGCUGACCCAGCGACGCCGCGUGCGGGAGGACGCCCUUCGGGGUGUAAACCGCUGUCAGAGGGGACGAAAGGCCGGGGUGGGAAUACUGCCGGAGUGACA